rnacentral:rRNA from 1 species
GAUGAACGCUGGCGGCGUGCCUAAUACAUGCGAGUCGAGCGAACAGACGAGGAGCUUGCUCCUCUGACGUUAGCGGCGGACGGGUGAGUAACACGUGGAUAACCUACCUAUAAGACUGGGAUAACUUCGGGAAACCGGAGCUAAUACCGGAUAAUAUAUUGAACCGCAUGGUUCAAUAGUGAAAGACGGUUUUGCUGUCACUUAUAGAUGGAUCCGCGCCGCAUUAGCUAGUUGGUAAGGUAACGGCUUACCAAGGCAACGAUGCGUAGCCGACCUGAGAGGGUGAUCGGCCACACUGGAAGUGAGACACGGUCCAGACUCCUACGGGAGGCAGCAGUAGGGAAUCUUCCGCAAUGGGCGAAAGCCUGACGGAGCAACGCCGCGUGAGUGAUGAAGGUCUUCGGAUCGUAAAACUCUGUUAUUAGGGAAGAACAAAUGUGUAAGUAACUAUGCACGUCUUGACGGUACCUAAUCAGAAAGCCACGGCUAACUACGUG